rnacentral:rRNA from 1 species
UACAGGGGGGCAAGCGUUGUUCGGAAUUACUGGGCGUAAAGGGCUCGUAGGUGGCCAACUAAGUCAGACGUGAAAUCCCUCAGCUUAACUGGGGAACUGCGUCUGAUACUGGAUGGCUUGAGUUGGAGAUGGGAUGCGGAAUUCCAGGUGUAGCGGUGAAAUGACGUAGAUAUCAGGAAGAACACCCGUGGCGAAGGCGGUUCUCUGGGACGGUACUGACGCUGAGACGCGAAGCGUGGGGAGCGAACAGG